UUAAGAAUAAAUAAUUUAAAUAAUAGUGAAUUAGUAUUGUAAAAGAAUAUUGAAAUAAUUUGAAAAAUAUUUAUUAUAAAAGAAAAUUUUGUUUAUUGUACCUUGUGUGUCAGGGUUUAUUAAAUAAAAAAUAAUUAUUUAUAUUUUUUUCGAUUUUAAAAGAGUUAAUAAAUUAUUAUAGUUAAUGUAACAAAAUUAUUAUAAAUAAUUUAUUAGAAAUGAAAUGUUAUUCGUUUUUAAAGGUAUCUAGUUUUUUAAGAAAUAAAUUUAAUUUAUAUUUUAUUAAUUAAUAAAUUAAAUAAUAAAUUUAUUAAUUUAAUAGAAUAAAUAUUUUAUGGGAUGAGCUAUAAAAUAAAAUUUUAAAAAUAAAAUAAAUUUUAAUUAAAAAUAUAUGCUUAGAAUUAGCAAAUAUUAAUAAUUAUGUUAUAAUUUAUUUUAAAUUAUAUUUAUUAUUUAUUUAUAUAUUUUAAAUAUUUUAUUAAAAUAUUUAUUUUAAUUUUAAAAAUAAAGUAAUAAUGAUAAAAUUAGUAAAAUUUUUAUUUUUAAAAAUAAAAAUAUAUGAAAAGUUUAUAUAAAGAAUUCGGCAAAUUUAAUUUUCGCUUGUUUAACAAAAACAUGUCUUUUAGUAUUUAAUUUAAAGUUUGACCUGCCCAUUGAAAUAAUUUUUAACGGCCGCAGUAUUUUAACUGUGCAAAGGUAGCAUAAUCAUUAGUUUUUUAAUUGAAAACUUGUAUGAAUGGUUGGACGAAAUAUUAACUGUUUCAUAUAAAAUAUAGUUGAAUUUUAUUUUUUAGUUAAAAAGCUAAAAUAAAUUUAAAAGACGAGAAGACCCUAUAGAUCUUAAUAAUAUUUAUAAUUUUAAUUAUAAAGAUUUUUUAAAUUUUUAUUAUAAUUUUAUUUUAUUGGGGUGAUAUUAAAAUUUAAUUAACUUUUAAUAAAUAUUAUAUAUAUAUAUAUAUAUAUAUAAACAUUAAUUUAUGAAUAUAUUGAUCCAUUAUUAAUGAUUAAAAAUUUAAGUUACCUUAGGGAUAACAGCGUUAUUUUUUUAGAGAGUUCAUAUCGAUAAAAAAGAUUGCGACCUCGAUGUUGGAUUAAGAUAAUAUUUAGGCGCAGCAGUUUAAAUUAUAAGUCUGUUCGACUUUUAAAUUCUUACAUGAUCUGAGUUCAAACCGGCGUAAGCCAGGUUGGUUUCUAUCUUUAAUUAAUAAAAAUAUUUUAGUACGAAAGGGCCAAAUAUUUGAAAAAUAAUUUUUUUAAAAAUUGAUUUAAAUUAAUAAAUUAUUAAAAAUAA
rnacentral:rRNA from 1 species